UGGAUCCAGACUUUGAUUCUGGCUCAGGAUGAACGCUGGCGGCAUGCCUAAGACAUGCAAGUCGUACGAAGCGGCCCAUAGAAGUUGGAGUGCUUGCACAAAGAUGGAAAUGGAUUACCGCUUAGUGGCAAACGGGUGAGUAACACGUGGGUUACCUACCUCCAAGAUGGGGAUAACAGUUGGAAACGACUGAUAAUACCGAAUGUGCUCUACGGAGUAAAGAAGCCCUUAAAGCUUCGCUUGGAGAUGGGCCUGCGGCGCAUUAGCUAGUUGGUGGGGUAAUGGCCUACCAAGGCAACGAUGCGUAGCCGAACUGAGAGGUUGAUCGGCCACAUUGGGACUGAGACACGGCCCAGACUCCUACGGGAGACAGCAGUUAGGAAUAUUCGUCAAUGGGGGAAACCCUGAACGAGCAAUGCCGCGUGAGUGAUGACGGUCCUCUGGAUUGUAAAACUCUGUUGUUUAGGAAAAAAUGUACAAGCAGGAAAUGGUUUGUGCUUGAUGGUACUAUUCAAGAAAGCCACGGCUAACUACGUGCCAGCAGCCGCGGUAAUACGUAGGUGGCGAGCGUUAUCCGGAUUUAUUGGGCGUAAAGCGUCCGCAGACGGUUUGUUAAGUCUAGAAUCAAAGCCCGGAGCUUAACUUCGGUUCGUUUUAGAAACUGGCAGACUUGAGUGUAGUAGAGGCAAGUGGAAUUUCUAGUGUAGCGGUAGAAUGCGUAGAUAUUAGAAGGAACACCAGUGGCGAAGGCGACUUGCUGGGCUAUUACUGACGUUCAUGGACGAAAGCGUGGGGAGCAAAUAGGAUUAGAUACCCUAGUAGUCCACGCUGUAAACGAUGAGUACUAAGUGUCGGGCAACCGGUGCUGAAGUUAACACAUUAAGUACUCCGCCUGAGUAGUACGGUCGCAAGGCUGCAACUCAAAGGAA
rnacentral:rRNA from 1 species